CGGACCCAACACUGCUCCGCCCGCCCCCACUGCCCCGCAUCAGCUACUUGGUGGGCUUUGAUGGCAAGGCUUGUUGCUGUUGUUAUUUACUUAUCCCAUCAGAAUUUUUUGGUUGAAACCAUACUCCGUUUAGGUAGAAUUUGUGGACCUAUUAGUCUACAGCCUAUGGUACUCACUUUAUAGGGUAAAUUAGUUGAUUUAGAAUUUGUUCUACAACAACCCGAGAAGCUCGUUUUUACAUGACGCCAGUUAAUAGUGUCUCAAAGCGUCGAAGUUUCAAACGGGUUUAAUCAGAAUGAAUACUGAAAUUUAUGGCGAGUUGCAUUAUGAAUCAUGUUCUUGCUGGUCAAACUAAUGUUCGUACUUGAUUUGAGAUGACCAUCUUUUGGUUAAAACCACAAUCCUUUUAUGUUCCAUAUUUUUGCAAUUGGUACUAUCAACAUCAAUUAGGGCUCCUUCAUUACUGAUGGUUAUGUUUUCAGUCACAUUUUUCUGGAUAUUUUUUUAUUAUGUGGCACCAGAGCUGCGUCGUAAUUAUUGUUUGUGAUUUAAAUCAUCCCAACUGUGGUGAGAGGCUGCUUCCGAGAUGUAAUUUCCAUUUUUCAUCAUGUAGCUGUGUCAGUGUGCUUCCUUGCUGAUUUCAGUGGUACGUAACCCUUGACUGGCGCUGGCUACUGUAUUUUCCCGCGAUAUUCUUCAGCACCACCCUAUUUCAACCAAUUUGGAUGAAGCAAUGCUGAUGACACUGGACAUGUGCCCAGUCUUUGGGAGGUGUCUCAGCAACUUUGAAUGCUGGGCUCCAAAAGACGGUGGCCGGGAAUAGCUCCCCUAUUUGCAUUCUCCUGCGUUUGAUGAGACGCCAAAUCAUCAUACACAUGGCACUGGAAUCUUGGCACAUCAGCAGGAGAGCCUCCAUCUGUUGUUUGACAGAGUCGAGGUAGUUGUGCCCUUUUUCUUUAUCUUAUGUUCAACAUUUUUACACACUCGUAGACUUGAGGGCAUUGAUUUCUUCUUGCCCUUGUUGUACAUGUUGACAACAUAGCUGAAAACUUUUCUUUUAAGUUCGUCCCUGUCUUGCAUAGCUUUCUCAUAUAAACUAAAAAAUGCAAAGUCCCCCCUAGAUAAUUCCUGUGGAUCAUUCAGAAAAAAGUUCGAGCGCCACUACGAUGGCGA